UACCCGCAGCACAAGUGGUGGUCAUUAUUAUUGGGCCUAAAGCGUCCGUAGCUGGCUUGUUAGAUGCCUGGGUAAAUCGAUGCGCUUAACGCAUCGAAUUCCGGGUAGACCGGCAAGCUCGAGACCGGGAGAGGUGUAGGGUACUCGGGGGGUAGGGGUAAAAUCCUGGUAAUCCUCCGGGGACGACCAGUGGCGAAGGCGCUACACUAGAACGGCUCUGACGAGUGAGG
rnacentral:rRNA from 1 species